rnacentral:tRNA from 1 species
GCAGUGGUGGUUCAGUGGUAGAAUUCUCACCUCCGUGUGGGAGAUCUGGGUUCGAGUCCCAGCCAAUGCA